rnacentral:rRNA from 1 species
CCUACGGGCGGCAGCAGUGGGGGAUAUUGCACAAUGGGGGAAACCCUGAUGCAGCGACGCCGCGUGUGGGAAGACGGUCCUCUGGAUUGUAAACCACUGUCCCCAGGGACGAAAAUGACGGUACCUGGGGAGGAAGCUCCGGCUAACUACGUGCCAGCAGCCGCGGUAAUACGUAGGGAGCGCGCGUUGUCCGGAAUUACUGGGUGUAAAGGGAGCGUAGGCGGGGAUGCAAGUUGGGUGUCAAAACUACCGGCUCAACUGGUAGUCGCACUCAAAACUGCAGCUCUUGAGUGAAGUAGAGGCAGGCGGAAUUCCUAGUGUAGCGGUGAAAUGCGUAGAUAUUAGGAGGAACACCAGUGGCGAAGGCGGCCUGCUGGACAUUAACUGACGCUGAGGCGCGAAAGCGUGGGGAGCAAACAGGAUUAGAUACCCCUGUAGUC